UACGUAGGGGGCAAGCGUUGUCCGGAUUUAUUGGGCGUAAAGAGCGUGUAGGCGGUUAGGUAGGUCCGUUGUGAAAACUCGAGGCUCAACCUCGAGACGCCGAUGGAAACCAUCUGACUAGAGUCCGGAAGAGGAGAGUGGAAUUCCUGGUGUAGCGGUGAAAUGCGCAGAUAUCAGGAAGAACACCCGUGGCUAAGGCGGCCCUCUAGUACGGUACUGACGCUGAGACGCGAAAGCGUGGGGAGCGAACAGG
rnacentral:rRNA from 1 species